UGAAUGCAGCAUCACACAACGUAUCCCCAGAGUAUUGCAGGCAGGGAGACAUGCCUGGACAAGUUUAGAUGCAGCAUUAACAUUAAAGCUGUCGGUGACGGACUUAUUAUACCGUGUGUGCGUCCAUGAUACACAACCACACACACACACUCACCUUCAGACGACAGUGUGAAGAAGUUCAGCUCUAACUUGUAUGCCAAUCACCUUGGAUAAAGAUACAAACUAA